UACGAAGGGGGCUAGCGUUGCUCGGAAUCACUGGGCGUAAAGGGUGCGUAGGCGGGUUUUUAAGUCAGGGGUGAAAUCCUGGAGCUCAACUCCAGAACUGCCUUUGAUACUGAAGAUCUUGAGUCCGGGAGAGGUGAGUGGAACUCCGAGUGUAGAGGUGAAAUUCGUAGAUAUUCGGAAGAACACCAGUGGCGAAGGCGGCUCACUGGCCCGGUACUGACGCUGAUGUGCGAAAGCGUGGGGAGCAAACAGG
rnacentral:rRNA from 1 species